GAUGAACGCUGGCGGCGUGCCUAAUACAUGCAAGUCGAGCGAACGGACGAGAAGCUUGCUUCUCUGAUGUUAGCGGCGGACGGGUGAGUAACACGUGGAUAACCUACCUAUAAGACUGGGAUAACUUCGGGAAACCGGAGCUAAUACCGGAUGAUAUUUUGAACCGCAUGGUUCAAAAGUGAAAGACGGUCUUGCUGUCACUUAUAGAUGGAUCCGCGCUGCAUUAGCUAGUUGGUAAGGUAACGGCUUACCAAGGCAACGAUGCAUAGCCGACCUGAGAGGGUGAUCGGCCACACUGGAACGGAGACACGGUCCAGACUCCUACGGGAGGCAGCAGUAGGGAAUCUUCCGCAAUGGGCGAAAGCCUGACGGAGCAACGCCGCGUGAGUGAUGAAGAUCUUCGGAUCGUAAAACUCUGUUAUUAGGGAAGAACAUAUGUGUAAGUAACUGUGCACAUCUUGACGGUACCUAAUCAGAAAGCCACGGCUAACUACGUG
rnacentral:rRNA from 1 species